rnacentral:lncRNA from 1 species
AGCAUGGAAGCCUUUCCAGUUGUGAGUAAUUUGCUGAUUCAUUGUCAAGAGGAGACAAAUGAAACAAAAGGGAAAAUUCGUGUGCUGCUUAAACACAGAAUGAACGAGCUUUGUGGACUACUGGGCCCAGCUGAAUGGUUCUCACCUGAGGUCUGUCAUGUAGUAGAGGAAGCUGCAGUCAGCAGAAGGCAUGACUGAUUGCAUGCCAAAAAUGGCUCAGUCACAUGGGUGGAAUUUGAUGCCAGUUCCUGGUUGAGAGCUCAGCUAUGGCUAUUGACUGGAUAUCUACACAGGGCUGUCCUCGUGGCAUGGGAGUCUCACAAUGACAACUGAGUUCUCAGAAGGAGAGUGCCUACAGCAGGCACUCCAAAAG